AUGGGCAAGUCAAGCAAGAAGUCCGCGGCCCCUACUGUCGUGGCGCCGGCGGCCGUCCUUACCAAGGGGAAGGCCGGGAAGAAGCGCGAAGCCGAUGACGAGAUCAAGAAGGCUGUAAGCGCAAAGAAACAGAAGGCUGCGCCGGCAAAGGCGGUGCCCGGGCCCAAAGAGGCCGCCAAGAAGGCCAAGAAGCAGCCGCCGCCCAAGAAGGUUGAGAGCAGCAGCUCUGAGGAGCAGUCAUCCGAGUCCGAGGAGGAGGAGGUUCCUAAGAAGACUGCAAAGCCUGUCAAACACGAGUCUUCAGAUGAUAGCAGCGACGAUUCCUCCUCUGACGAGGAACCUGCAAAGAAGCCUUCUGCUAAACCUGUGACCCCAGCUGCCAGCAACGGCUCAAAGAAAGGCAAGCCUGAGAGCAGCUCUUCUAGUUCUGAGGAUGAGUCCGAUGAUGACGAGAAACCUGCUGCUCUGGUAAAGAAAACACCAGUCAUCGAAUCUGACAGCUCCGAAAGUGACUCAGAUGAUAGCUCAGAUGAGGAUGUUCCUGCCAAGACUCCUGCUGCUGCUGCCAAGAAGGUAGAUUCUUCAGACAGUUCUGAGUCGGAGAGUGAAUCUGAGGAUGAGGAGAAGUCAAAGAAAGCCGCACAGGCCACCAAGAUAGCUCCUGCAGCUGCUAAAAGAAAGGAGGAGCCCAGUGAUUCCUCAGACAGUGAUGAGAGUGAUGAAGAGCCUCCCCAGAAAAAGCUGAAGGAUGCUGCGAAGGUUACUCCUAAGUCUGCCAAAAAGGACAGCACCAGUGAUGAUGACAGUUCUGAUGAAAGCUCUGAUGAUGAGCCUAAAAAGAAAGUUACAACUGCCUCAAAAUCACAGAAGGAAGAGCCUAAAACUCCUGCUAGCAACAAAGGUCAGGCAACAGGGUCGAAGACCCUUUGGAUGGGGAACCUUUCCUUCAAUAUUGAGUAUGAUCAAGUGAAGCAAUUUUUUGCACAAAUUGGAGAGGUCGUUGAUGUUCGCCUGGCUACCCAUGAAGAUGGCCAUCCCAAGGGAUUUGGUCAUGUUGAGUUUGCUACGGCUGAAGAUGCUCAGAAAGCGCUUGAUUCACUGAAUGGUGGAGAUCUAAUGGGCCGUCCGGUGAGACUUGACAUGGCUGCUGAAAGAGGUGCAACUCCUCGCACCAGGGAUGGUGGAUCGUUUGGAAAACCAAGUGGAGGUCCCAGCCUCUCAGUAUUUGUCAAGGGUUUUGAUUCAUCUCAACAGGAGGAUGCUAUUCGGAGCUCUCUUCAAGAACACUUCUCUAAAUGUGGAGAAAUCACACGUGUCUCAGUUCCGAUGGAUUAUGAGAAUGGUGCAAGCAAAGGGAUAGCUUACAUGGAUUUUACUGAUGAGAGUUCCUUUUCGAAAGCACUUGAGCUUAGUGGAUCUGACCUAGGUGGCUGCAACUUGUAUGUUGCUGAAGCUAAGCCUAAGGGUCAAUUUGGUGGCGUUGGUGGUCGAUCUGGUGGCAGAGAUGGUGGCCGCUCUGGUGGUGGCAGGUUUGGCCGGUCUGGUGGCCGUGAUGGCGGCGGCAGGUUUGGCCGGUCUGGUGGCCGUGAUGGUGGCGGCAGGUUUGGCCGGUCUGGUGGCCGUGAUGGCGGCAGAGGAGGCGGCCGAGGCUUUCAGAGCAGACAGAGUGCUGGCACAGCUAGCGCAGGUAAUGCAACUGCCGCGUGUCUAGACGACUGUAUCCCCGUGUUUCCCAUUAUCCUAGUGGACCUAGUAUCAUUUGUCUGUAGUAUUUUCUUGCCGCUAUAUGUUGUAAUGCCAGAAUUCUACUAUAUAUGUUACACCUAG
rnacentral:rRNA from 1 species